UACAGAGGUCUCAAGCGUUGUUCGGAUUCAUUGGGCGUAAAGGGUGCGUAGGCGGCGCGGUAAGUCGGGUGUGAAUCUCGGGGCUUAACUCCGAAACUGCAUUCGAUACUGCCGUGCUUGAGGACUGGAGAGGAGACUGGAAUUUACGGUGUAGCGGUGAAAUGCGUAGAUAUCGUAAGGAACACCAGUGGCGAAAGCGGCUCCCUGGUCCAGCACCGACGUUCAGCAC
rnacentral:rRNA from 1 species